rnacentral:rRNA from 1 species
GAUGAACGCUGGCGGCGUGCCUAAUACAUGCAAGUCGAGCGAACAGACGAGGAGCUUGCUCCUCUGACGUUAGCGGCGGACGGGUGAGUAACACGUGGAUAACCUACCUAUAAGACUGGGAUAACUUCGGGAAACCGGAGCUAAUACCGGAUAAUAUAUUGAACCGCAUGGUUCAAUAGUGAAAGACGGUUUUGCUGUCACUUAUAGAUGGAUCCGCGCCGCAUUAGCUAGUUGGUAAGGUAACGGCUUACCAAGGCGACGAUGCGUAGCCGACCUGAGAGGGUGAUCGGCCACACUGGAACUGAGACACGGUCCAGACUCCGACGGGAGGCAGCAGUAGGGAAUCUUCCGCAAUGGGCGAAAGCCUGACGGAGCAACGCCGCGUGAGUGAUGAAGGUCUUCGGAUCGUAAAACUCUGUUAUUAGGGAAGAACAAAUGUGUAAGUAACUAUGCACGUCUUGACGGUGCCUAAUCAGAAAGCCACGGCUAACUACGUG